UAAACUUCUCCUGCCAAGCCCAAAUGAGAAAAGAAGUGGGAAGAAUAAGGACAUCCAAUAGAGUAAGGCAGGGAGAGAAGGCACCAAAGUCAAGAGGAAAUGCUAAGGCAGCAGUUUCCUGUCUGCUUCCUUACCCACCCCCACCUGAUCAUGGCACAGAAAUCCUAGUAGGCUGACUCGGACUGAUGGGGACAUGUGCACACACCUAAGAAAACAUCUAGACUUCAGUCAUCUUCUGCACACCAUUGGAGAGAUGCUCCUACAUGGUGGCUAAGAAAAGAUGAUGCCCGUGUCACUGCAGAUGCUAGAAGGCCAACUAUGACUCCACCCUUUUGCUAUGUCGUGAAGAAAGAAAAGAUUGUGACCUCUCCUGGCUUUAGACAGUCACCAUGAACACAAGCUCUUAUCCUGCAUCUUAUUUUGGGAUAUACAAAAUAUUUAAAACCAGAAAGCCUCUCCUCCAGCCCUCUCUGUCAAUUGGAGUUCUGAAAAUGUUCCAAAUUUCCUUUUUAUUCAAAUAGAUGUUGGCUGUGACAACAAAAGUGGAGUUAGGGCUAAAUGUUACUAUUUAGUCAGAACCAUUUGCUCCAUCAACCAGAAUCCGAAAAUAUAAUAUUUGUGGUUUCACAUUAUGCACAGAAAGCCUAAUUUUACAUGCAAAUUCUUAAUGAUUAUAAAGUUGGGGCUGCAAACAUAACAUUAUCUUUAUAUUCAUUGAGUAAGGACAUGUUCUAUUUUUGUAGUAGAAAUUUCAUGAUUACAAUUCAUUCAUACCUGUUAUCCUAAUUUUCACAUUAUUGUUAAAAACAGUAAUUUGUGAUGUGUCUCCACACUCAAUGUCUUGAUCCUAAAGUGAGAUUAUUACCAAAAAUAAGUGCAUUCUCAGUUAAAUAUAUAUCAUUGCUUCAGAAAUAAUGAUAUGUUUUUCAUUCCUUCGCCCAAAAGAAAAUUGAGUGUAAAAAAGGUCACUUCUUGGUUUUGCUUAUUAUUUAUGAUUUGGGGGACUAUUGAUAAAACAAUUAGAAUCUUUUGAAACAUCAACCUUGUUACUAAAAUAAUUUAUAAUUCAAGUGAAGUAAUGAGGUACUUUUAAGCUUUAACACUAUCUGCAGGUCAUGU